GACGAACGCUGGCGGCGUGCUUAACACAUGCAAGUCGAACGGAAAGGCCCUGCUUUUGUUGGGUGCUCGAGUGGCGAACGGGUGAGUAACACGUGAGUAACCUGCCCUUGACUUUGGGAUAACUUCAGGAAACUGGGGCUAAUACCGGAUAGGAGCUCCUGCUGCAUGGUGGGGGUUGGAAAGUUUCGGCGGUUGGGGAUGGACUCGCGGCUUAUCAGCUUGUUGGUGUGGUAGUGGCUUACCAAGGCUUUGACGGGUAGCCGGCCUGAGAGGGUGACCGGCCACAUUGGGCCUGAGAUACGGCCCAGACUCCUACGGGAGGCAGCAGUGGGGAAUAUUGCACAAUGGGCGGAAGCCUGAUGCAGAAACGCCGCGUGCGGGAUGACGGCCUUCGGGUUGUAAACCGCUUUCGCCUGUGACGAAGCGUGAGUGACGGUAAUGGGUAAAGAAGCACCGGCUAACUACGUG
rnacentral:rRNA from 1 species